rnacentral:rRNA from 1 species
UGCCUACGGGGCGCAGCAGUGAGGAAUAUUGGUCAAUGGGAGAGAUCCUGAACCAGCCAAGCCGCGUGAGGGAAGACGGCCCUAUGGGUUGUAAACCUCUUUAGGCGGGGAGCAAUGCCGGGCACGUGUGCCCGGAGGGAGAGUACCCGCAGAAUAAGCAUCGGCUAACUCCGUGCCAGCAGCCGCGGUAAUACGGAGGAUGCGAGCGUUAUCCGGAUUUAUUGGGUUUAAAGGGUGCGUAGGCGGAUUUUUAAGUCAGCGGUAAAAUGUCCGGGCUCAACCCGGGCCGGCCGUUGAAACUGGGG